UUAACCCUAGUCACCAAAACACAAAUCCUCUCUUUACUCUCCAUGAGAAAUCUCUAUAUCUCUUCCUCUUCCAUCUAGUUGGAUACCACCUAUCCUUCUAUUGGAAUCCUUGAGAAUAACAAGGUUAUUCUCGUGGUCGUAUCCAAGUUUGAUUUAGAAGAAGUUUGUGUCAAGAUUAAGAGGAUUUUUCGUGGCGUUCAGGAAUCAUCAAAGUUUUUGAGAUGCAAGACGUUCAUACGCUUACACUCGGGAUUUGAUCCCUGCACGAGCCACUUUCACUCAUACAAAUCAAGGGACGAGUCCUCAUAGAUAGAAGUUCAUAACUCACUCAGGAUUGAGAUCGAGUUAUAUAUGGAUGAAAUUACGGCAACAAUGGGUUUCGUGAUGGACAAGAUCGCUUUCUUUUUAUAGGGUUCAUUCAUUUGAAUUUUCGUCAUGGCAGCAGAGGAACGUGGUGAGUUUCUCCAUUUGCCGAUCGCAUUCAGGGCACUU